UUCAUUAGUACUUUUUAACACUUUACUAAGCCAACGUACGCUUUUAUUAUUUGUAACACAUUUGUAUAUUUACAUAACCGCUUACAUAGAUUUCGACGCGACGUGAGGGUUGGAAUUAUGGCCAAAAUCGGUGGAGAGGGCAUCUGGUUGUGUCUGGCCAAAUCGAGCCGGGCGGGCUGUGUCAUAUCCAUAUUUAAGCACGCCAGCUAAGCGUGUGACAGUCAGUCAGAGUCUCGAGAUACGAAACACUCAAGGUGAUAUGAACCUUUUGCCGCUGCCAGCGAAAAGGUUGACAACGCGUCAUUAUCCUGUAUGUCAGACAUUUUGGCUGCGACUUCAAAAGCCAACCGAAGAGCAAAGGCGAGGGCCCACAUCUAGGAGGUCUUGGAUCGAGCACAGACAGAGAAAAUAUGUUCUUGUCGAGUCAUAAAAAAAGGACCCAACUAAACUGGUACAACAAGCACUUAAUUAAAGCAAUUACACAACGUUCCAAGGAAAUCAAGCAACUACUAAGCACAAGCCACGGAAAUUACUAUUAAUUUCACAGCAAGUGGGUUUCAAUGCCAACGGAUGAAAUUCCAAUUGUUUGGCUCCCUCCCCCCUUUUUUCGGGAUCGGCUUUUGAGCUGAGGUUUCUGAUGGAGAUGGAGAUGGAGACGGGCGGUUGGAGUCGCAAAAACCAGGAGAUGGUAGCUUGGAGCCCGGCCCUCGUUUCAUAUUUUUGCGCUCUCGGGGCAGAGCUAAGCUAACCCAAUUGCAAUAUUAAAAGCAUGCCUGCCGCAGAAAGUUUCCCCAAACGGGCGACAGUCUGUGGCAAGCAGAAAAGCGUGACGCUGCCAGAGGAACGUCGACGUUUUGCGGCUUUGCUGCGGCCGCUAAGCUGGCUGCCAAAAAAGCCGGAGUCGCAUCCACGGACGGAGUCGUUGCAGGAUGAAAAGUGGAGUGGGGCAUAAAGGGAGGAGGGGGUGGUAAGGGGGCACGCUCGUGGCAGCGACACGUUCAAGGACACCGAUGCCGCAGGAUUUUACAAUGUGUGACGCGUCU